rnacentral:misc_RNA from 1 species
GAUGAAGAACGCAGCGAAAUGCGAUAAGUAAUGUGAAUUGCAGAAUUCAGUGAAUCAUCGAAUCUUUGAACGCACAUUGCGCCCCUUGGUAUUCCGAGGGGCAUGCCUGUUCGAGCGUCAUUAUAACCCUCAAGCUCAGCUUGGUGUUGGGGCCUGCUGCACUGGCAGCCCUUAAAAUCAGUGGCGGCGCCAUCUGGCUCUAAGCGUAGUAAUUCUUCUCGCUAUGGAGUCCUGGUGGAUGCUUGCCAUCAACCCCCAAUUUUUCUAUGGUUGACCUCGGAUCAGGUAGGGAUACCCGCUGAACUUAAGCAUAUCAAUACGGAGGA